CCCUANNNNNNACCGGUACGAUUCCCUUGAGUUGAUCAUGGCUCGAAGAACGCUGGCGGCGUGCUUUACACAUGCAAGUUGAGCGAGGCCACCCGCAAGGGUGAGUCGAGCGGCGAACGGGUGAGUAACGCGUGGAUAACCUGCCCUGAGGUGGGGAAUAACCCGGGGAAACUCGGGCUAAUACCGCAUGAUACCGAGAGGUCAAAGAGGGGUCGCAAGAUCUCUUGCCACAGGAGGGGUCCGCGUUCGAUUAGCUAGUUGGUAGGGUAAUGGCCUACCAAGGCGACGAUCGAUAGCCGGCCUGAGAGGGUGAUCGGCCACACUGGAACUGAGACACGGUCCAGACUCCUACGGGAGGCAGCAGUGGGGAAUUUUGCGCAAUGGGCUAACGCCUGACGCAGCAACGCCGCGUGGAGGAUGAAGGUCUUUGGAUUGUAAACUCCUGUCAGCAGGGAAAAAGGGACCAGACCUCAUACGUCUGGGACUUGAUUGUACCUGCAGAGGAAGCCCCGGCUAACUCUGUGCCAGCAGCCGCGGUAAUACAGAGGGGGCAAGCGUUAUUCGGAAUUAUUGGGCGUAAAGGGCGCGUAGGCGGCUUUUCAAGUGACGGGUGAAAUCCCUCGGCUUAACCGAGGAACUGCCUGUCAGACUGGAAGGCUUGAGACCGGGAGAGGUGAGUGGAAUUCCCAGUGUAGCGGUGAAAUGCGUAGAUAUUGGGAGGAACACCAGUGGCGAAAGCGGCUCACUGGACCGAAACUGACGCUGANGCGCGAAAGCGUGGGGAGCAAAC
rnacentral:rRNA from 1 species